GACGAACCGUGCGAACGUUGUUCGGAAUCACUGGGCUUAAAGGGCGCGUAGGCGGGCUAUCAAGUCCGGGGUGAAAUCCUCCAGCUCAACUGGAGAACGGCCUCGGAUACUGAUGGUCUCGAGGAGGAUAGGGGCACACGGAACUGUGGGUGGAGCGGUGAAAUGCGUUGAUAUCGUCUGGAACGCCGAAGGUGAAAACAGCUCGCUGGGGGUUGUGCUGACGCUGAGACACGAAAGCCAGGGGGAGCGAACGGG
rnacentral:rRNA from 1 species